AUUGAACGCUAGCGGGAUGCCUUACACAUGCAAGUCGAACGGCAGUGCGGACUUCGGUCUGGCGGCGAGUGGCGAACGGGUGAGUAAUGUAUUGGAACGUGCCCAGUAGCGGGGGAUAGCUACUCGAAAGAGUAGCUAAUACCGCAUACGCCAUACGGGGGAAAGGGGGGGAUCGCAAGACCUCUCACUAUUGGAGCGGCCAAUAUCGGAUGAGCUAGUUGGUGAGGUAAAGGCUCACCAAGGCGACGAUCCGUAGCUGGUUUGAGAGGACGACCAGCCACACUGGGACUGAGACACGGCCCAGACUCCUACGGGAGGCAGCAGUGGGGAAUUUUGGACAAUGGGGCAACCCUGAUCCAGCCAUUCCGCGUGUGCGAUGAGGGCCUUCGGGUUGUAAAGCACUUUUGGCAGGAAAGAAAUCGCACGGAUUAAUACUCUGUGUGGAUGACGGUACCUGCAGAAUAAGCACCGGCUAACUACGUGCCAGCAGCCGCGGUAA
rnacentral:rRNA from 1 species